UGCCGAAACCCGGAAUCUAAAGGGACCUUUAGAUCUUCAGUCUAACGCUCUUCCAACGGAGCUAUUUCGGC
rnacentral:tRNA from 1 species